rnacentral:tRNA from 1 species
AAGGAUAUAGUUUAAUUGGCAAAAUAAUUGGCUCCAACCCAAUUGUUCUAGGUUCGAGUCCUAGUGUCCUUG